rnacentral:rRNA from 1 species
AUACGUAGGUGGCAAGCGUUGUCCGGAUUUACUGGGUGUAAAGGGCGUGUAGGCGGAGAUGCAAGUCGGGAGUGAAAUCUAGGGGCUCAACCCCUAAACUGCUUUUGAAACUGUAUCCCUUGAGUAUCGGAGAGGCAGGCGGCAUUGCUUGUGUAGCGGGGAAAUGCGUAGAUAUUAGGAGGAACACCAGUGGCGAAGGCGGCCUGCUGGACGACAACUGACGCUGAGGCGCGAAAGCGUAGGGAGCAAACAGGAUUAGAUACCCUGGUAGUCCACGCUGUAAACGAUGAAUACUAGGUGUGGGGGGACUGACCCCCUCCGUGCCGCAGUUAACACAAUAAGUAUUCCACCUGGGGAGUACGAUCGCAAGAUUGAAACUUAAAUGAAUUGGCGGGG